AUUGAACGCUGGCGGCAGGCCUAACACAUGCAAGUCGAGCGGAUGAAGGGAGCUUGCUCCUGGAUUCAGCGGCGGACGGGUGAGUAAUGCCUAGGAAUCUGCCUGGUAGUGGGGGAUAACGUCCGGAAACGGGCGCUAAUACCGCAUACGUCCUGAGGGAGAAAGUGGGGGAUCUUCGGACCUCACGCUAUCAGAUGAUCCUAGGUCGGAUUAGCUAGUUGGUGGGGUAAAGGCCUACCAAGGCGACGAUCCGUAACUGGUCUGAGAGGAUGAUCAGUCAAACUGGAACUGAGACACGGUCCAGACUCCUACGGGAGGCAGCAGUGGGGAAUAUUGGACAAUGGGCGAAAGCCUGAUCCAGCCAUGCCGCGUGUGUGAAGAAGGUCUUCGGAUUGUAAAGCACUUUAAGUUGGGAGGAAGGGCAGUAAGUUAAUACCUUGCUGUUUUGACGUUACCAACAGAAUAAGCACCGGCUAACUUCGUG
rnacentral:rRNA from 1 species